GGACCCGCACAAGCAGCGGAGCAUGUGGUUUAAUUCGAAGCAACGCGAAGAACCUUACCUAGACUUGACAUCUCCUGAAUUACUCGUAACUGAGGAAAUCCCUUCGGGGACAGGAAGACAGGUGGUGCAUGGUUGUCGUCAGCUCGUGUCGUGAGAUGUUGGGUUAAGUCCCGCAACGAGCGCAACCCUUAUCAUUAGUUGCUAACAUUUAGUUGAGCACUCUAGUGAGACUGCCUGGGUUAACCAGGAGGAAGGUGGGGAUGACGUCAAAUCAUCAUGCCCCUUAUGUCUAGGGCCACACACGUGCUACAAUGGUGGGGACAAAAAGAUGCGAAACCGCAAGGUUGAGCCAAACUCAAAACCCCAUCCCAGUUCGGAUUGUAGGCUGAAACUCGCCUACAUGAAGCCGGAGUUGCUAGUAAUCGCGAAUCAGAAUGUCGCGGUGAAUACGUUCCCGGGUCUUGUACACACCGCCCGUCACACCAUGAGAGUCGGCAACACCCGAAGCCCGUGAGGUAACCUUUUGGAACCAGCGGUCGAAGGUGGGGUUGAUAAUUGGGGUGAAGUCGUAACAAGGUAGCCGUAGGAGAACCUGCGGCU
rnacentral:rRNA from 1 species